rnacentral:rRNA from 1 species
GACGAACGCUGGCGGCGUGCUUAACACAUGCAAGUCGAACGGAAAGGCCCUGCUUUUGUGGGGUGCUCGAGUGGCGAACGGGUGAGUAACACGUGAGUAACCUGCCCUUGACUUUGGGAUAACUUCAGGAAACUGGGGCUAAUACCGGAUAGGAGCUCCUGCUGCAUGGUGGGGGUUGGAAAGUUUCGGCGGUUGGGGAUGGACUCGCGGCUUAUCAGCUUGUUGGUGGGGUAGUGGCUUACCAAGGCUUUGACGGGUAGCCGGCCUGAGAGGGUGACCGGCCACAUUGGGACUGAGAUACGGCCCAGACUCCUACGGGAGGUAGCAGUGGGGAAUAUUGCACAAUGGGCGGAAGCCUGAUGCAACAACGCCGCGUGCGGGAUGACGGCCUUCGGGUUGUAAACCGCUUUCGCCUGUGACGAAGCGUGAGUGACGGUAAUGGGUAAAGAAGCACCGGCUAACUACGUG